rnacentral:rRNA from 1 species
UUUAGAGUUUGAUCCUGGCUCAGAUUGAACGCUGGCGGCAGGCCUAACACAUGCAAGUCGAGCGGUAGAGAGAAGCUUGCUUCUCUUGAGAGCGGCGGACGGGUGAGUAAUGCCUAGGAAUCUGCCUGGUAGUGGGGGAUAACGUUCGGAAACGGACGCUAAUACCGCAUACGUCCUACGGGAGAAAGCAGGGGACCUUCGGGCCUUGCGCUAUCAGAUGAGCCUAGGUCGGAUUAGCUAGUUGGUGGGGUAAUGGCUCACCAAGGCGACGAUCCGUAACUGGUCUGAGAGGAUGAUCAGUCACACUGGAACUGAGACACGGUCCAGACUCCUACGGGAGGCAGCAGUGGGGAAUAUUGGACAAUGGGCGAAAGCCUGAUCCAGCCAUGCCGCGUGUGUGAAGAAGGUCUUCGGAUUGUAAAGCACUUUAAGUUGGGAGGAAGGGCCAUUACCUAAUACGUGAUGGUUUGGACGUCCGCAGAAAC